AACUACAGCCAUACCACCCUGAACUCACCCAAUCUUUUCUGAUGGAUCCCUUCUGAUCUUGGAAGCUAAACAGGGUCAACCUUGUUAGCAUUUGGAUGGGAGACUGCCUGGGAAUUUGGGUGCUGUAGGCA
ensembl:rRNA 5S_rRNA 5S ribosomal RNA